rnacentral:rRNA from 1 species
AACGAACGCUGGCGGCAGGCCUAACACAUGCAAGUCGAGCGGACCCUUCGGGGUUAGCGGCGGACGGGUGAGUAACGCGUGGGAAUAUGCCCUUCUCUACGGAAUCGUCCUGGGAAACUGGGGGUAAUACCGUAUACGCCCUUUGGGGGCAAGAUUUAUCGGGGAAGGAUUAGCCCGCGUUGGAUUAGGUCGUUGGUGGGGUAAUGGCCUACCAAGCCGACGAUCCAUAGCUGGUUUGAGAGGAUGAUCAGCCACACUGGGACUGAGACACGGCCCAGACUCCUACGGGAGGCAGCAGUGGGGAAUCUUAGACAAUGGGGGCAACCCUGAUCUAGCCAUGCCGCGUGAGUGAUGAAGGCCUUAGGGUUGUAAAGCUCUUUCAGCUGGGAAGAUAAUGACGGUACCAGCAGAAGAAGCCCCGGCUAACUCCGUG